GUAAAAAUAGCUUAAACCUAAAGCAUAACACUGAAGAUGUUAGUAUGAUAUCUAAUAUCUUUUUACA
rnacentral:tRNA from 1 species